GGGCUCGUGGUCUAGUUGGUUAUGACGUCGCCUUGACAUGGCGGAGAUCUCGUGUUCGAAUCACGACGAGCCCA
rnacentral:tRNA from 1 species